rnacentral:rRNA from 1 species
AAUAGUGGCAGACGGGUGAGUAUCGCGCAGAUAACCUACCCUUAACUUUGGCAUAACACUUCGAAAGAGGUGCUAAUUCCAAAUAGUCCAAUAAUCUGAAAAGUAUAUUGGUAAAGCUCCGGCGGUUAAGGAAGGGUCUGCGUUCUAUCAGCUUGUUGGUGGGGUAAAGGCCUACCAAGGCGAUGACGGAUAGCUGGUCUGAGAGGAUGAUCAGCCACACUGGAACUGCGACACGGUCCAGACUCCUACGGGAGGCAGCAAUUGGGAAUCUUGCGCAAUGGGGGAAACCCUGACGCAGCGACGCCGCGUGGAGGAUGAAGGUUUUCGGAUCGUAAACUCCUUUUAUGUGGGAAUAAGUUCUGAAGGUACCACAUGAAUAAGUGCCUGCUAACUACGUGCCAGAAGCAUCGGUGAUACGUGGGGCACGAGCGUUAUCCGGAAUUACUGGGCGUAAAGAGAUGCGUAGGCGUUUUAGUAAGUCUUUCGUUAAAGACUGCGGCUCAACCGCAGAAAGGCGUGAGAAACUACUAGAAUAGAGGCAUAGAGGGGUAGACGGAAUUCCUGGUGGAGCGGUGAAAUGCGUUGAUAUCAGGAGGAACACCCGCGGCGAAGGCGGUCUACUGGCUAUGUUCUGACGCUAAGGCUCGAAAGCGUGGGGAGCAAAACGGAUUAGAUACCCGUGUAGUCCACGCUGUAAACGAUGGAUAUUAGAUGUCUGGUUUAGUACUAAGCUUCGGCUUUGUGCUGGACUGGGUGUCACAGCUAACGCAAUAAAUAUCCCGCCUGGGGAGUACGGCCGCAAGGCUAAAACUCAAAGGAAUUGACGGGGACCCGCACAAGCGGUGGAGCGUGUGGUUUAAUCCGAUGAUAAGCGUAGUACCUCACCAGGGUUUGAAAUGUAACUGCAAGCCUAAGAAAUUAGGUCGCCUUCGAGGGUGUUACACAGGUGCUGCAUGGCUGUCGUCAGCUCGUGUCGUGAGAUGUUGGGUUAAGUCCCGCAACGAGCGCAACCCCUAUUCAGUGUUAUUAUGUCUCUGAAGACUGCCCUGCUAAAACGGGGAGGAAGGUGGGGAUGACGUCCAGUCGUCAUAGCCCUUAUGUCCUGGGCAACACACGCGCUACAAUGGUCAGUACAACGGGUAGCCAGGUAGUAAUACGGAGCCAAUCCCUUAAAACUGAUCUCAGUUCGGAUUGCAGGCUGCAACUCGCCUGCAUGAAGUUGGAAUCGCUAGUAAACGUGGGUCAGCAUACCGCGUUGAAUACGUUCUCGGGUCUUGUACACACCGCCUGUCAGUUGCUGGAAGUCGGAUGCACCCGAAGUCCCAUGUAAGUGGGCCCAAGGUGAAGUCGGCGACUGGUAAUAAGUCAUAACAAGGUA